GGGGCUAUAGCUCAGCCGGAAGAGCACUUGCAUGGCAUGCAAGAGGUCAGCGGUUCGAUCCCGCUUAGCUCCACCA
rnacentral:tRNA from 1 species